AGCUCGGUUUUUAAUAGAAGCAAAAACAAACCUUACAAAUUGCAGCUACUUCAAGGGCACAUCCCGUUCCGCUAAACACAAUCAAAGAUUACACCAUUUGCCUCUUAACGUACCAUGCUCAUACAUACGAAUUUUGAGAUGAUGCGAAGAAACCGACAAACAAAGCCGACUCCGCAUUCGAUUUCCUCUAACGUCACUAUCAUCCGGAAUGGCCAUACGGAGCAAUUGGGUGGGUAACGUCAUCCAUCCAUGCCCCGGGAUUGUCUCGUCCUGUCCGUCCGUACGCCACUAUCUGAAGGCCUGCAGCUCUUAUCAGGGCGAUUGUCAUUCAAACGGUAUUGCCUGCCGGCGAUAAGCGUACCGCCCUAUGCACAUAUACGCAGACACAGACACACACACUCACAUAAGCUGAUAAUACGGUGUGUGGUCUCCCGGUUGGCAGACGGAGCCGAAGAGCGAAUCUCAAUCCCUGCCGGGAGAUUGCUUGCCCAGCCAGUCUGGCGCUCAUGGUGCAAAGUGUUUCGGCAUUGUGAGAACAGAACACCAAAGUCGGCCAACGGCUCACCAUUCUCCUGAACUUUCCGAAAGGCCUGACAGUUCUCUCGCGCUUACCGUCAGGAUCGGGGGCACGAGCUUUCCCCGUGUUGUGUGUGCGUUGUUUCUGUCUGUUGUGAUGUAAAUCGCCGUGUGCGUGUGCAAAGGUGUGAAAAGAUGCCUUGAGAUAGCAAAGGCAUUGUGACAAUUGUUGUAUGUAAUAUAUUCUACUAUUCUGUUGUGUAUGUGUUGUGGAUAUUGUGGAAUCGUUUGCAAAGCUGCAAGCCUGCCGCGACCGAGUGUGUCUGCGAGGUACAUACCGGGAAGCGUCGAUUAAGAUCAGGAUCGGAGGCAAAGGAAUCCGUCUCGGUGCGUCUGCGAGCACAGCAGUCAGAUCUCUCACACUUCGAAGUGAUUGGUUAGCUGGCGCCUUCUUAACCCAAUUGCUGCAGCAAUACAGCAUUCCGUGUAAGUGCGUAACGUGAUCUUCAGUAAAGAUUCUCGCCGGGCUUCGCCCUUGCUCCAGUACGUACGUAGCCACGUAGCAAAGAGCAGCGAAAGUAUGUAGCCGCUUCUCGAAACCGGGCAAAGUGUGUAGUAAAGUGUGCCAAAGUGGAAGAUGCUAAAAUAAGCCUAAUUGAUUAUCCGCGGCACAGAAUGCACCGUGGGAGUGGAGCCGCCAGUGGAGAGGCUGCGUGCCGGAACGUGCGCGAUUUGUGUGCCCGUGUAGAGUGCUGGUGUUCAGUGAGCUGGGAGAGAUGAGCGCCAUGAUCUUCCGCAAAAAUUUACCAUAUUUAGUCUGUUACGCAAAGCGCCGAUUGUGUGUGUGUGUUAAAGUGUGUGCCAUAUUGCCGUAAAGCCUGCCCAAUGCAGAGUGUGACCACCGUGCGGUGUGGGCUGUAACGUUCUGUGCAUUUGUGGCGAUCCAAUCACCAGUGUUACCCACUGUCCGAUCGCUUGUUCUUCUAAUCUAGCAUAGUGAGUGUGUGUGUGUGCCCAUAUCGGAUAUCAGCUUCAUCCGCGGCGUCAUCCGAAGCGUUUUUUUUUUCUUACCAAAAGAGACGGUUCCAAACGCAGCCCAACUUCGCCGUGUUGGAGGCACGCGUCCAUUUACAACCCCGGGCAGCGCGGGAGCACACUGGAAAGAGGAAGCCGGCAAGCAAAGCCAGUGGGCAGAUUGCAGCUGUUAGAUGACUUUCUGCAUGACUUCCUCAAUCACUUCGCUGUAUACAAGAGAGUGUCAUAUAAUCUGGAUGUUAUCAUUGUGGUUUACUUCACAUUCGCGAAUCGACCGUUGAUCGCUUUACAAUAAACCUUUAAGCUGAAUUAUAAUUGUACACUAUUGAUACAGUUUUUGGUGAUUUUGGUGAAGUUUUUGGGGAUUUUUCAACAUCUACGGCAUUAUGAUUUUGCGAUUGAAAUUCAUAUUAAAGUUGUGUUUUACGAAAUGUUUA